CCUUCGAUAGCUCAGUUGGUAGAGCGGUGGACUGUAGAGUGAUAUGCAAUUGUAGAAAUCCAUAGGUCGCUGGUUCAAAUCCGGCUCGAAGGA
rnacentral:tRNA from 1 species